rnacentral:piRNA from 1 species
UUGUACACUGACUUGGCCUCUGGUUGUUUCAA